rnacentral:rRNA from 1 species
AUUGAACGCUGGCGGCAUGCUUUACACAUGCAAGUCGAACGGUAACAGGCCUUCGGGUGCUGACGAGUGGCGAACGGGUGGGUAAUGCAUCGGAACGUACCCAGAGGUGGGGGAUAACGCAGCGAAAGCUGUGCUAAUACCGCAUGUGAUCUGAGGAUGAAAGCGGGGGACCGAGCAGCAAUGUUUGGCCUCGCGCCUUUGGAGCGGCCGAUGUCGGAUUAGCUAGUUGGUGGGGUAAAGGCCUACCAAGGCGACGAUCCGUAGCUGGUCUGAGAGGACGACCAGCCACACUGGGACUGAGACACGGCCCAGACUCCUACGGGAGGCAGCAGUGGGGAAUUUUGGACAAUGGGCGCAAGCCUGAUCCAGCAAUGCCGCGUGCGGGAAGAAGGCCUUCGGGUUGUAAACCGCUUUUGGCAGGAACGAAACGGUGUCCGCUAAUACCGGGCGCUAAUGACGGUACCUGCAGAAUAAGCACCGGCUAACUACGUG